UUGAACAACAUGGUGAUGGAAUCACGCUGCCUUACAUCCAACGUGGAAGGAUCCCUCUUUUUUUUGGCCUUUUUUACACUUAAUGGACACUUUCUUGUUUUUUUUACUUGCUUUGUGACUGCCAUCCUUUGCAUCAUUUUUGUAAAUCCAAACAGGGCGGAAUCAGAACAUUUCAGCGGCAAAUUAAGAAGAAAGAAACGGGGAAGUUCUUUUUCGCUUACCCCUCCUCUUCAGCCAUGUUCUUUGCUCUCCUACUUAUCUGUGGCAGAGAGUCCAUGGCUCAUUAUAAUUGGCCGUUGUCAUCAUGCAGAUGACACACAGUCAGCGCUCUGAAUAUCAUUAGCGCCUUUGCAUACCUCCGCUCUUUUUCUUUUUUGUCCUUUCUUCUCGUUUCUUCAUUCCAAGGCUCGUUUCGCGAUUUCGAUAUUCCAGCAGCAGGAUCUAUCCAUAGAAGAGGAGAGAUGGAAAUAAGCAACCACAACAACAACAACAACAACUUCCAUGUGAACAUAGGAAGCUCAGUGGGCUCCAAGAAGCAUGUAGAAGGGACUGGAUCCUCCUUUUUAAGGCUUUUUUCUUUCUAUGCAUUUCUUUGUCUUCAGUCCUGUCUUCAUGAGGCAACCAGGGCAAGAUGCCAUCCGGACCCUUUAGAGAACUCUGACAUGGUGGGUGCGGAAAAUAGGGGGGGGGGGGGGGG